CUAAGGCGGUGUGGCUAUUGUACAUCUACCUGAUCGGAUUUCCAGGCACUCAGCAAAUCCUUCUGUGGAUAAAAUGGAAAAAGGUGAUGGACCUCCUCCAUAUACUGCAGCUACUCCAGAAAUUUUAGCUCAGCCAUAUCCUGGUCCACCACUGAACUCCGGUGCGGCCCAACAGCUUGCUGUUCCUCAGUAUCAGCAACCUGUUGCUCAGCAAUAUCCCCAGCCUGUUGCUCAGCAGCAUCAGCAACCUGCUCCUCAACAAAUAGUUGUACAGCAAAAUCAGACUACUCAACCUGCAACCCCUGUGGUGGUGGUGCAAGCGAGACCAACUGAGGCUCCUGGAAGCAUGUUGUGUCCACACUGUAAGACCACCGUUGUGAGCACAACCGAAUACAAAUUGGGCAUGCUCACCUGGAUCAUUGUUGGAGCAUUGUUUUUUAUUGGGUGUUGGCCUUGCUGUUUGAUCCCGUUUUUCGUGGGUGCUUGCAAGGAUGUGCAGCAUUCCUGCCCGCAGUGCAACAACGUUCUGCACGUCUACCGUCGCAUGUGAACCACAGUGGUCAAUCAUGCAGCUACUGAAAUUUUUUUGGCUCUAUUCAUUAAGGUCUUCCUACACUGUACAAAGUUCUUUUUGAGCCUAUUGGAGAGCUGCACUGUAUUACUACAAUUCCCAAAGUCUGCAAGAAUUGACGCUGUCAUAGAAAUAACACCUCUGAACUUCCUAAAAAAUUUUUUAGGGAGUGUCUUGAUCAGUUCAUCAUUGGUAAAUACAUAGAGUGACUGACAUAUCACCCCUUAUAGUCCAAAACUAGGCUCUGCCUUUGUCAAGUUAACUGAAGACUCUUGCCUUGUGUGAUUUUGUUUAAAGAUAAUAUUGUUCAUCUUCUCAUUAGAAAUUUUGUUUCUUUAAGUAGAAGAGACAAAACUGUGACAGCCAAAAACUUGUAAACUGUAGUGUUUACCUGGAAAGACCUGUGUGUGUAUGUGGGCUUGUAUUGGACACAUGUUUUACCAUAAAAAUAUUACAUUACUUUAUACGACUAAAUGUAAUGACAUAAUAAACAUAAUGAAACAUAAUACAUUCCUCAGAGAGCUUUAUGCUGAAAUGUUCCAUGCAUUCCUUUGAAAAAUGAUCAACUACUCAGUCAAUUGUUGUGGCAUGACUGGCAGACAUCAGAUCGAUUCUGUUAUGUGAUAAAAAAAAAAAAAAAGAUAUUAAUAUGGAGCCUCAUGAGGCACAGGGCUACAUUUUGUCCCUGGAAGGAGACAGGGUUACUCUGGUUAACUGAAGAUGUAAAACUGAUGCAUGUAAGAUUGCAGCCAGGUUGAAGCAAAUAAAUAGAUAAUCCUGUCAUCAGUGAUCAGUAUAGAGCUUUUGUUUUAGUAGCCCCAAACUACAAUUUACUUCAUUUAAUAUUUAGCCUAACACCAUAAGAAAAAUCAUGUCAACAAGAGAAAAAGAAUAGUUGUAGUUUUUUCAGACAUUUAAAAUUUUACAUUAUGGCUGGAUGUCACUAUCAAGUGGCCAGAUGCAACACCCACUCUCUUUGUAUUCAGAAUACGUGGGUCCUCUGGUUGCAAAGAAAAUGGAUAUAUGAAGAAUAAAAAAGUGGUUUACAAAGUACUAAACUCCAAUACUCAGCUCAGGAGUGUAGAAGUAUUGGAUAUAACGAGAAUGCAAAAUUUCAUGCAAUUUAAGACUGCUUCAGAAAUCUGCAAAGAAUUUCCUCUUUAUUCACUUCCGAUGAAGACAAAGGUU